rnacentral:tRNA from 1 species
GGCGUCGUACCCAAGUGGUUUAAGGGAACGGUUUGCAAAACCGUCUUUCGUCGGUUCGAAUCCGACCGACGCCU